GAUGAACGCUGGCGGCGUGCCUAAUACAUGCAAGUCGAGCGAACGGACGAGAAGCUUGCUUCUCUGAUGUUAGCGGCGGUCGGGUGAGUAACACGUGGAUAACCUACCUAUAAGACUGGGAUAACUUCGGGAAACCGGAGCUAAUACCGGAUGAUAUUUUGAACCGCAUGGUUCAAAAGUGAAAGACGGCCUUGCUGUCACUUAUAGAUGGAUCCGCGCUGCAUUAGCUAGUUGGUAAGGUAACGGCUUACCAAGGCAACGAUGCAUAGCCGACCUGAGAGGGUGAUCGGCCACACUGGAACUGAGACACGGUCCAGACUCCUACGGGAGGCAGCAGUAGGGAAUCUUCCGCAAUGGGCGAAAGCCUGACGGAGCAACGCCGCGUGAGUGAUGAAGGUCUUCGGAUCGUAAAACUCUGUUAUUAGGGAAGAACAUAUGUGUAAGUAACUGUGCACAUCUUGACGGUACCUAAUCAGAAAGCCACGGCUAACUACGUG
rnacentral:rRNA from 1 species